rnacentral:rRNA from 1 species
CACGUGGGAACGUACCCUUUGGUUCGGAAUAACGCAGGGAAACUUGUGCUAAUACCGGAUACGCCCUUACGGGGAAAGGUUUACUGCCGAAGGAUCGGCCCGCGUCUGAUUAGCUAGUUGGUGGGGUAACGGCUCACCAAGGCGACGAUCAGUAGCUGGUCUGAGAGGAUGAUCAGCCACAUUGGGACUGAGACACGGCCCAAACUCCUACGGGAGGCAGCAGUGGGGAAUAUUGGACAAUGGGCGCAAGCCUGAUCCAGCCAUGCCGCGUGAGUGAUGACGGCCCUAGGGUUGUAAAGC